GGAGGCGCCCAAAGGUUCCCUCAGAAUGGUUGGAAAUCAUUCGUAGAGCGCAAAGGCAGAAGGGAGCUUGACUGCGAGACCUACAAGUCGAGCAGGGACGAAAGUCGGGCUUAGUGAUCCGGUGGUUCCGCAUGGAAGGGCCAUCGCUCAACGGAUAAAAGCUACCCUGGGGAUAACAGGCUGAUCUCCCCCAAGAGUCCACAUCGACGGGGAGGUUUGGCACCUCGAUGUCGGCUCAUCGCAUCCUGGGGCUGGAGUAGGUCCCAAGGGUUGGGCUGUUCGCCCAUUAAAGCGGUACGCGAGCUGGGUUCAGAACGUCGUGAGACAGUUCGGUCCCUAUCCGUCGUGGGCGCAGGAAAUUUGAGGAGAGCUGUCCUUAGUACGAGAGGACCGGGAUGGACGCACCGCUGGUGUACCAGUUGUUCCGCCAGGAGCAUCGCUGGGUAGCUACGUGCGGACGGGAUAAAUGCUGAAAGCAUCUAAGCAUGAAGCCCCCUCCAAGAUGAGAUUUCCCUUUGAGUAAUCAAGAAAGACCCCUCAGAGACGAUGAGGUAGAUAGGUCACGGGUGGAAGCAUGGCGACAUGUGGAGCUGAGUGAUACUAAUCGGUCGAGGCCUUGUUCUA
rnacentral:rRNA from 1 species